rnacentral:rRNA from 1 species
GAUGAACGCUGGCGGCAGGCCUAACACAUGCAAGUCGAACGAGUGGCGGACGUGUGAGUACUGUCUGGGAAACUGCCCGAUGGAGGGGGAUAACUACUGGAAACGGUAGCUAAUACCGCAUACCAUCGGAUGUGCCCAGAUGGGAUUAGCUAGUAGGUGGGGUAAUGGCUCACCUAGGCGACGAUCCCUAGCUGGUCUGAGAGGAUGACCAGCAACAAGGGAACGGAGAAACGGUCCAGACUCCUACGGGAGGCAGCAGUGGGGAAUAGUGCAAAAGGGGCGCAAGCCUGAUGCAGCCAUGCCGCGUGUAUGAAGAAGGCCUUCGGGUUGUAAAGUACUUUCAGCGAGGAGGCGUUACUCGCAGAAGAAGCACCGGCUAACUCCGUGCCAGCAGCCGCGGUAAUUC